rnacentral:rRNA from 1 species
CGGCACGGGUGAGUAAUACAUCGGAACGUGUCUUCUAGUGGGGGAUAACUGCCCGAAAGGGCAGCUAAUACCGCAUGAGACCUGAGGGUGAAAGCGGGGGAUCGUAAGACCUCGCGCUGGAAGAGCGGCCGAUGUCCGAUUAGCUAGUUGGUGAGGUAAAGGCUCACCAAGGCGACGAUCGGUAGCUGGUCUGAGGGGACGACCAGCCACACUGGGACUGAGACACGGCCCAG